AGUGAACGCUGGCGGUAGGCCUAACACAUGCAAGUCGAACGGCAGCACAGUAAGAGCUUGCUCUUACGGGUGGCGAGUGGCGGACGGGUGAGGAAUACAUCGGAAUCUACUUUUUCGUGGGGGAUAACGUAGGGAAACUUACGCUAAUACCGCAUACGACCUACGGGUGAAAGCAGGGGAUCUUCGGACCUUGCGCGAUUGAAUGAGCCGAUGUCGGAUUAGCUAGUUGGCGGGGUAAAGGCCCACCCAGGCGACGAUCCGUAGCUGGUCUGAGAGGAUGAUCAGCCACACUGGAAGUGAGACACGGUCCAGACUCCUACGGGAGGCAGCAGUGGGGAAUGUUGGGCAAUGGGCGCAAGCCUGAUCCAGCCAUACCGCGUGUGUGAAGAAGGCCUUCGGGUUGUAAAGCCCUUUUGUUGGGAAAGAAAAGCAGCAGGUUAAUACCCCGCUGUUCUGACGGUACCCAAAGAAUAAGCACCGGCUAACUUCGUG
rnacentral:rRNA from 1 species